rnacentral:sRNA from 19 species
UGCCUAAACUCGUUAGUUUUAAAAUUAGCGGGCAUGGCAAAACAAGUCCAGUUAGACAUAAAGAUCCCAUCAUAUUGGGGUGUCUAACUGGCCGUAUCGGGAAACUGAUACGAGAGAAGCUUCGGCUUUUC